rnacentral:rRNA from 1 species
GAUGAACGCUGGCGGCGUGCUUAACACAUGCAAGUCGAACGAAGCAAUCUAACGGAAGUUUUCGGAUGGAAGCUGGAUUGACUGAGUGGCGGACGGGUGAGUAACGCGUGGGUAACCUGCCUCGCACUGGGGGACAACAGUUAGAAAUGACUGCUAAUACCGCAUAAGCGCACAGGACCGCAUGGUCUAGUGUGAAAAACUCCGGUGGUGUGGGAUGGACCCGCGUUUGAUUAGCGAGUUGGGGGGGUAACGGCCUACCAAGGUGACGAUCAAUAGCCGACCUGAGAGGGUGACCGGCCACAUUGGGACUGAGACACGGUCCAAACUCCUACGGGAGGCAGCAGUGGGGAAUAUUGCACAAUGGGGGAAACCCUGAUGCAGCGACGCCGCGUGAGUGAAGAAGUAUUUCGGUAUGUAAAGCUCUAUCAGCAGGGAAGAAAAUGACGGUACCUGACUAAGAAGUCCCGGCUAACUACGUGCCAGCAGCCGCAGUAA